rnacentral:rRNA from 1 species
GACGAACGCUGGCGGCGUGCUUAACACAUGCAAGUCGAGCGGUAAGGCCCUUUCGGGGGUACACGAGCGGCGAACGGGUGAGUAACACGUGGGUGACCUGCCCUCAGCUCUGGGAUAAGCCUGGGAAACCGGGUCUAAUACUGGAUAUGACUCCAUGACGCAUGUUGUGGGGUGGGAAGCCUUGUGCGGCUGAGGAUGGGCCCGCGGCCUAUCAGCUUGUUGGUGGGGUGANGGCCUACCAAGGCGACGACGGGUAGCCGGCCUGAGAGGGCGACCGGCCACACUGGGACUGAGACACGGCCCAGACUCCUACGGGAGGCAGCAGUGGGGAAUCUUGCGCAAUGGGCGAAAGCCUGACGCAGCGACGCCGCGUGAGGGAUGACGGCCUCGG